UACGAAGGGGGCUAGCGUUGCUCGGAAUUACUGGGCGUAAAGGGCGCGUAGGCGGCACUGUUAGUCAGGCGUGAAAUUCCUGGGCUCAACCUGGGGACUGCGCUUGAUACGGCAGAGCUUGAGGAUGGAAGAGGGUCGCGGAAUUCCCAGUGUAGAGGUGAAAUGCGUAGAUAUCUGGAGGAACACCGGUGGCGAAGGCGGCAUCCUGGACCAACACUGACGCUGAGGAGCGAAAGCCAGGGGAGCAAACGGG
rnacentral:rRNA from 1 species